CUGGAAUCUAGAGUACGACAAUUAUUUCUUCAUCGGUUCGAUGCUCGAGCUAUCUUAUUUUCGUUUCUUAAAAUUCUUUCUUUCAUUUCUUUGAACAUAUUUUUAAGUUCCAGUUCUAGUAUCACGCAAACGUGACAGAUUUUAUUACGAUAUCACAUGUCCAAGAACCAUGUCGUUAUUAGACAACUAUACCACGUACGUUCAAACUAACAUUUAAGAUAAAAACAUUCUUACUCCCUUUUCUAAGCAACAGAUAGCAGCAAUCUCCUUCAAUUUCAAUCUCAUUUCUAUCAUUUUGAACAUGCUGUGCUUUUUUUUUGAUGAUCUUGCAUCUAUCAUAUUAUAUCCAUCGUAUUUUGCUAUCGCUAACGAAUCUUUUAGUUUGAGGAAAAUAUAUAAACCAAUGAAGUAUGAAGUCCACGUAGAAAUUCGUUUCACCUAUUAAAUAUUAUAGCGAAUACCGUACAUUGGAUACUUCAUGCAUUUUUGCAUUUUUUAACUGUCUAUAAAUGCAUAAAUCGUUUUAAUAUUCGUUUUCUCGUUUCAAUUUUCAUUUUCAAUUUCGAAUAAACGUUAGAAUAUAUCUUCUUCCUUCAGAUCUCAAACUUCUUUUGUUUCAUCGCUUCUCUUUUUGCAUUUUUUCCUAUUCCUCUCGUGACGUGUCCUAUUCUCAAGCAAAUAGAGUGCGUCGUUUUCAGGAAAUUUUUUCGCAGGCACGUACUUACGAGCAUCGUAGCGUGGCGUCGCACAUAAUGCAACAUCCUGUCGAAUCAUUGCUUUUGUAUUACGUAAAACGCCGCCCGGUAUACGAGGGCAGGAUAAAGAGAGAGGAGGAGAAAAACGCACACUACAGCGCCGUUCUUUUUCUCCUUCUCCUUCUCUUUUUCACUUCUUUUUCGGUCUUUUUUCUAUUAUUAUACGCGUGUCCCUGGCCAAUUGCACAGAAAUGAACUCGCCGACUGCAAUUACCCUCGCAAGUGAGUUCUCGACCGCCUCCUACUUUCAUUCUUGUUCCCACAAUACAUAAUAGGCUGUAUUGUUAGAAAAGAAACUAGACUAUUCCUCGUCCUUUUACCAACUGGAAAUAAAUUCUUCUUCUUUUCUUUUCAUAUAUAUUUUUCUUUUUUGCUCGUUUAUAUUCCGUUACGUUGUCUGUAGUCACUUCAUCGAAUAUGUAAUAGUAACUGAACUGCUUGUAAAUUUUUUCCAAGAAAUCAUAUACAAAGAGCGGAGAAGAAAAGCACAACUUCUCGCGUGAAAACAGUUUUAAAAUACAAUCUCUGUCAAUCAGCCACAUAUUACCAAAAAACUGUCUUCUUAUUAAAUUUGUUUACGGAGUUCUGUGAAGAAAUAUUUGCGUGAAGUGUUACUUUCUCAACAGUAUCGUUUCUCUUUUUAAUUACAUUAUACUAAGCUACGUUCUUUCAACUACCAACACACAAAACUAGGAAACCAACAGCAUCAUACUCAUAUUUUCUUCCUUAUAAUCUCCAUACAAAGUCAGUUAAGCUUCUGGAGGAAGCGUACAAAGUAGAGGAUUUGUUCAUCGAUCUCUUUAUCGAAUCCCAAAUGAAGAAGAACGACGCCCUUGAAAUUUUAAAUUACAAUCGCGUUGAUUCGAACUUCUCAUUCAGCGCAUUUAGCCACGUGAAGAAUCGAUUUUGACGUGUUGAUCGAAGCACACAGUGAAGAAUCUAUUUUAAGAAAUCGAGUUAUGCGAUCGAUAACGCGGUAUGAGAAUCGGACGAGCAAACGUCAGAAUAAUUUUGGAAAAAGACACGGGCACUCGGGAAGCCUUAAACGGGAACGAUCGUAACACUGUAACGUGUACGAUAACGGUUCCUGCCGCGUAAAAAGAACGGUUUCUCAUUUGGUUGCCAAAGUCACAGUACAUGUCAGUUAGUUUAUAAAUGUGCUCACGUAAGAAAUUAUACGUUCUACCCACCAUUGGUGAUUUAUGAUCCUCUCAAAACUGUAGUUUCGUAGGUAAUGGUUACACUUGCGCUUUUUUUAGAACAAGUUUUAAACAAAGAGAUUAUUCGUUUGAAAAGAAACAAUUGUUACAUUCAAAUCGUUUUUCUGUAGCUAAGAAUUUUUCAGAUAUUGCAGAAAAUACAUUUCAGAUCCAUCGAGAGUUGUUUUCAUCCCCUUCGAUAUGGAUCUUGGAUUUUCGUUAAAACUUAGCCAGUUACGUUUGAAAAUGAUCAGGAAGUUAUCAAUUCAUCUCACAUGAUUGUCCUAAAAAUAUUAUACCGAGCUACCACAGUCUUGAUCUUUUUAUAUUUCCACCUUUUUCAUAUUUUCCAAGAAACGAUAAUUUCUUGUAAUUUACAUUGUCUAAUAAUCUUUAAAAAUCUACAUUUUUCAAUGUCAGUUCUAAGUCUCUACUCCUCUCUUCACUUUUCCUUAUUUUCAUGGCUACCGUAUCCAGCUUCGUAGUACAAAGUUAACAAUGGCGAAAAUAAAUUAUUAUUGUUAUUAUUAUUAUCUAUUUAAUUCUGACUUUUUUGCUUUGAAUGACUUUUAGUUAUCGGCCUUGCAACCAUAAUUUUUUACCCAAUACAACAAUAAUGAUAGUGAAUUGUAAUGAAUUAAGAAGUAUGGAAUUCGAUAAAAAUUUCAUAGGUUGAGAAAACGAAGACUCUUUGAAGUGGAAGGAAAAGAAAAGAAAAGCGAAUGGGCACAACGCAAAUAAGAGAAAUUUACGUCAACUUGCUCAAGGCAUUUUUGCACCUACAAUGACCUACAUAGUUCUGUUGUUUCUCUAGUCUAUACAAGAGUUUCUUCUUCGAGGAAAGAGAAGCGUACACUAACUAACGACUAUUUUUCACAAUACGCAUCCUUUCCAUCUCUUCUAAGCAUUUGUAAAUUUACACACGACAAAUAUUUAUGCCAUUUGUAUCCACUUGGGAUUGAGAGAAUUUAUACUUUAUUCUGCACGACUUACUUUUUCUUUUUCCUGUUUUCCUUUCAUUUCUUGGAAGCUAGCAUAGAACUGAUAUGAAAAAGAAACGACCGUGUUUCUUUUACCGUUAGUUAAUUGCAGAUAUCAUGUAUAUCGCAAUUAAUGUAAUUAAAUUAAAAAGUAAGUAGUUAGGUGUAAAAAACAUGUAAUAAAUGUUUUUCUAUAUUCGUACGAAGUCGAUGAUCGAAUCGUAAGAAAUCUAGUUUAUCAAGUGCACUGCGUACGUCUCGAAUCCAUAUUUUUUUACGAUAUACUUUACGAUACCGACUUAAUAAAGUCUUGUUAAAUACUGAAAAUCCAAUCAGCAAUGAAGGUGUUAACCUAUUAAUCAAAGAAUUCUUCCUAAUCAAAGAAUUCUAUGUUCGUAGAAUUAAAAGUUAACAAAAACGAAUCAAUUUUAGUUAGACCAAUUUUGAUUCUUACAAUUCCUAGGAAAAUUGAAACAACACAUAAAAGAUAGAAAAUUAAAAAAUUACUAUAUUACAAAGAUUGAAUGAGUUAAUAUUGUUCGUGAUAAUAUUCGCGGUAAAAAUUCUGCUUGCUAAAAGGUCAACAAGAGUCAAUGAGCAAAGUUAAAAAAGCGGACAAAACUUCCAAGUGAGCCUUAUCGUAAAUGAAGAUUGUAAACUGCACAGAGCGACGAGCUUUAAAGAUCAGAAACGCAGCGGAGAAUUGUAAAUGAGUCGUCAAGUGGUUGGAGCAAUUAAUGGUUGCGGCUUGCUUUCGCAUAUAUUGUACUGCAAACGUUUGCUUGUGGAAGCGUUAAAGAGUUGCAACAAUAGGAGCAAAAUAAAAGUCAGUGCUUUUACACUU